ACGGCACGACGUCCUGUAUCUCAUGGGCUUAGAAGAAUGUGUUCCUGAGGGAAGCACGUCAACAUAAAUUGUUUCAGUCUGAGAGUAAAAGCUUUCUCGAAAGAUCAUUUGGGUCUUAUUACGUCUACCUGUGGUUGUACUUGACAUGGAUUUCGUCAACCUCUUUGCUGUCCUUCUAUUCUGCACUUCUCAUCAGAUACCAGUUUGGCAAGGAUAAAUAGUACACGGUGCAGCUGGAAAAGGCAAGGCUGUCAGCUUUGCAGGAAUGUGUGAUGGUGAGCACUUUGAUAUGUCAUCAGCGUUUUCAACACUCAGCAUUGAAGAGGACCCUUGCCAGUCCACAGCAAACGCCUGACUGAGAAGUUGCUUGCUUGUCUUCAAGCAGAAAUUAUGACAGAAACUGUUUAAAGUUCCCAUUUUCUGAACAUCAUACCCUUGAUUGUAUUGGACUCUAUCCCACCGCUCUGCAUUCAUGUCUGAACCCAACGUCUUGGACACCAGUCUUGUCAAGAGUAAUUAGAGAGACGAUGGUGCCAGCCCACAGUGAACAAACACCUGAUGGGCAACAUGUGAAUCCUCAAGCAGAACUGGUGGCAAUACAUGUUUGAAGUUCCAGUUUCUUGAACAUCAUGUCCAUGUGAGAGUCUAUCCCAUGUUGAACACCCUCUUCAGUCAAGUCUGGACUCAGUGACGCAUUACUUUUGAUCAACCAGGGCAAGUGACUGUUUUUCCAUGAGGUUUUUUCAUUCCACCAUGGAUUAACCUAUAUAUGGACGUAUGCUGUUUUUUCAAGAACUCAACACUAAUUUGUGAGUGUACUGGGAGUUAUCAGUUUAAUUUGAUUGUCAUAGAGAAUCUGUAAAUGUAAAAACAGUUUCUUAAUAUUUGCCUGUAGUAGUCUGUACAUUUGUU